rnacentral:rRNA from 1 species
GACAGAGGGUGCAAACGUUGCUCGGAAUCACUGGGCGUAAAGGGCGUGUAGGCGGGAAGGCAAGUCAGAUGUGAAAUCCCUCGGCUCAACCGAGGAACUGCAUCCGAAACUGCGAGGCUCGAGUCCUGGAGAGGGUAGUAGAAUUCCCGGUGUAGCGGUGAAAUGCGUAGAUACUGGGAGGAACACCGGUGGCGAAGGCGGCUACCUGGACAGGUACUGACGCUGAGACGCGAAAGCGUGGGGAGCGAACAGG